rnacentral:rRNA from 1 species
AUUGAACGCUGGCGGCAGGCUUAACACAUGCAAGUCGAGCGGGGUGAUGGUGCUUGCACUAUCACUUAGCGGCGGACGGGUGAGUAAUGCUUAGGAAUCUGACCAUUAGUGGGGGACAACAUCUCGAAAGGGAUGCUAAUACCGCAUACGUCCUACGGGAGAAAGCAGGGGAUCACUUGUGACCUUGAGCUAAUAGAUGAGCCUAAGUCGGAUUAGCGAGUUGGUGGGGUAAAGGCCUACCAAGGCGACGAUCUGUAGCGGGUCUGAGAGGAUGAUCCGCCACACUGGGACUGAGACACGGCCCAGACUCCUACGGGAGGCAGCAGUGGGGAAUAUUGGACAAUGGGGGGAACCCUGAUCCAGCCAUGCCGCGUGUGUGAAGAAGGCCUUAUGGUUGUAAAGCACUUUAAGCGAGGAGGAGGCUCUUUUGGUUAAUACCCAAGAUGAGUGGACGUUACUCGCAGAAUAAGCACCGGCUAACUCUGUGCCAGCCGCCGCCGUAA